rnacentral:rRNA from 1 species
UACGUAGGGUGCGAGCGUUGUCCGGAAUUAUUGGGCGUAAAGAGCUUGUAGGCGGUCUGUCGCGUCUGCUGUGAAAAUCCGGGGCUCAACCCCGGACUUGCAGUGGGUACGGGCAGACUAGAGUGUGGUAGGGGAGACUGGAAUUCCUGGUGUAGCGGUGAAAUGCGCAGAUAUCAGGAGGAACACCGAUGGCGAAGGCAGGUCUCUGGGCCAACUACUGACGCUG